rnacentral:rRNA from 1 species
GAUGAACGCUGGCGGCGUGCCUAAUACAUGCAAGUCGAGCGAACAGACGAGGAGCUUGCUCCUCUGACGUUAGCGGCGGACGGGUGAGUAACACGUGGAUAACCUACCUAUAAGACUGGGAUAACUUCGGGAAACCGGAGCUAAUACCGGAUAAUAUAUUGAACCGCAUGGUUCAAUAGUGAAAGACGGUUUUGCUGUCACUUAUAGAUGGAUCCGCGCCGCAUUAGCUAGUUGGUAAGGUAAUGGCCUACCAAGGCAACGAUGCGUAGCCGACCUCAGAGGGUGAUCGGCCACACUGGAACGUGGCCACGGUCCAGACUCCUACGGGAGGCAGCAGUCGGGAAUCUUACGCAAUGGGCGAAAGCCUGACGGAGCAACGCCGCGUGAGUGAUGAAGGUCUUCGGAUCGUAAAGCUCUGUUAUUAGGGAAGAACAAAUGUGUAAGUAACUAUGCACGUCUUGACGGUACCUAAUCAGAAAGCCACGGCUAACUACGUG